rnacentral:rRNA from 1 species
AACGUAGGGGACAAGCGUUAUCCGGAUUUACUGGGCGUAAAGCGCCCGUAGGAGGCCUGACAAGUUGGACGUGAAAGCUCCUGGCUUAACUGGGAGAGGCCGUUCAAAACUGUCAAGCUAGAGUCUGGAAGAGGAGAGCGGAAUUCCCGGUGUAGUGGUGGAAUGCGUAGAGAUCGGGAGGAACACCAGUGGCGAAAGCGGCUCUCUGGUCCAAAACUGACGCUGAGGGGCGAAAGCGUGGGGAGCGAACGGG